AGGAUGAACGCUAGCGGCAGGCUUAACACAUGCAAGUCGAGGGGCAGCAUGACACGGAGAUUCGUCGAAGUGUUGAUGGCGACCGGCGCAAGGGUGCGUAACGCGUGAGCAACUUGCCCGUUUCUGGGGGAUAACCGGUGGAAACGCCGACUAAUACCCCAUAGUAUUGGAUUUAGGCAUGUUAUUUCAACUAAAGAUUCAUCGGUAACGGAUGGGGAUGCGUGACAUUAGGUAGAUGGCGGGGUAACGGCCCACCAUGCCCACGAUGUCUAGGGGGUUCUGAGAGGAAGGUCCCCCACACUGGAACUGAGACACGGUCCAGACUCCUACGGGAGGCAGCAGUGAGGAAUAUUGGUCAAUGGCCGGAAGGCUGAACCAGCCAAGUAGCGUGAAGGAUGAAGGUUCUAUGGAUUGUAAACUUCUUUUAUACGGGAAUAAAACCACCUACGUGUAGGUGCUUGUAUGUACCGUAUGAAUAAGCAUCGGCUAACUCCGUG
rnacentral:rRNA from 1 species